GUGUCCAACUAAUGCAGAAUAUAUUUAACACACUGGCUGUGAAGAACCCUUUCCAGAGAAAUAUAAAAGGAAAUGACUGUAAGUAACAUUGUUUUUAAUCUAUUGGUUUAUUUCUAUCAACAUAAUCACACACAAUACUGUAGUAACAAUAUAUUGUAAUCUUUAUUUGCUGGAAAAUGACAAUCAGUCAAAUUUGUGUUUGUAGCACACCUGACACAUCUCUAAACCGGAAAUUUAAAGCAGAACAUGCACCACUUGCAGGUUAUUGUAGCAUAUGAAACUUGUGUUGGGGAGGAUUCAGUGUCUGUUGAGGCCCAUGUGAAUGUGCUACAAAGUGAGUAUCAGAAAACACCUCCAGACACCUGGACUGUCAAAGACCACACGGCACAAACAUUCUCCUGGAGACGCUGAGAAAGCACAGAAGGAAUGUCUGUGGAGGAUGUACUCAAAAAACACCCAUACUUAAGAACACCUGCUGGAGGGGUCCCUGCUACACCCUUUCCUACCAUACAACUGAUGGAUACUGACUGUAAAAUGGCAAUCAUAGGAGGAGGGUUCAGUGUGGUGAAAGAAGAUGGAAUAGACGUGUGCCAGUGCACCAGCCUUGGUGAAGCCUUCAUAACAGCCUUCUGUAUGUAUUUUGCUUUCAACAUUGCAUAUCCAACACACCUGAGAAAGACACUGACUUUCCUUCAGAGGCACAUUCUCAACACUAGAAGAUGGAGACAAGCACUGCCAGUAUGGUUGACUGGAAGUCUGUCAGUCCAGAUGUGAGGAGGACACACAGAGAGAGUUUGAGCUCAGCAGAUGUGAUGGCUGUAGAUACUGUGGUCAUGGAAAGAAGGGGGUCUUCACAAUAUCUAUCUAUCUAUUUUUUUUUUACAGAGGUUUUGAAGGUACUUACAAAAGUAAUUUAAAAUAAUAUUCUUAAUAUCAUUAACGCCGUUUUUACCUUGGAAGAAUUAAAUUUGGUUUUAUAGGAUCAUGUUGAAUGUAUGGCAUCCUUUUAAGCUGCGAUUAAGAGUAUAUGGCUCGCCAGCCUUUUUUUUUUUUUUACAGCCAUCUUUCGCAUUAAAUUUUGGCAUGCCCCCUACCUUUCUUUUCACCAAUGAGAAACCUUUUGGCACGCCCAUUGCUCCAGGCUGCAGCUACCCCUACUAGGCUGGAGGGGAGACUUCUGGAAAACUAGGUUGCUGCUGGACGAGGUGUUAGCAGGGGGUGCUCACCCUGUGGUCUGUUUGGGUCCGUGUAGUGUUGGGGACACUAUACUGUCAAAAAGCACCGUCCUUCAGAUGAGACGUUAAACUGAGGUCCUGACUCUCUGUGGUCAUUAAAAAUCCCAGGAUGUCUUUUGAAAAGAGUAGAGGUGUGACCUCAGCAUCCUGGACAAAUCCACCCAUUGACCUCUGAGCAUCAGGGCCUCCUAACAAUCCCCAUAUCUACUGAUUGGCUUUUCAUACUUUUCUGGACCUUGACACUGUUAUUUAUUUGGCAGUUUAUGAGACAGUCUCAAGCCUCACGAUUUUCAUCCAAAAUAUCAUAAAUUGUUUUCCGAAGACGGAACGACAUGAGGGUAAGUGAUUAAUGACAAAAUUUUCAUUUUGCAGUGGAGUUUCCCUUUAAUAUGUUUGCCACAAGCAGGGAAACACACACACACACACACACAAUGCACAUUAUUAAUCAAAAAUUAAGUUUUGAUAUAUUUACAGUAGGAAAUUUACAAAAUAUCUUCAUGGAACAUGAUAUCAAUGUAUUUUUGGCUAUUGCUACAAAUAUACCCCAGGGUCAUAAAUGUUCUUGAUCCUAAGAAAGAGACAUUGCUUUAAUGACAACACCCUGUUCACCAUGAGUUCAUAAUGCCAAAGUCAGAACGAGCAGAUGAGAUUGAAUUCAGUUUUGAGUUCUAUCUGUUUUAAUACUCAUAAUGUAGUUACUGUAUUUUUAUUUUUUUUUUCUUCGUAGGUCAGUUUAGUUACAGUGUCCAGUAUCCGCUCAAAGGCUGAGUAGUGGAAUGAAUCCGUGACGCGUUUCGAUGCAUAAAACAGAAGGUUUUAUUCAUAACGGGAAAAGUAACAACAAAGACAAAUGAUGACAGUAAAGUAUAAAACAGAAAAUAAACAAAAUUAAAAUUAAACA
ensembl:lncRNA